rnacentral:rRNA from 1 species
CCUACGGGGCGCAGCAGUCGAGAAUCAUUCACAAUGGGGGAAACCCUGAUGGUGCGACGCCGCGUGGGGGAAUGAAGGUCUUCGGAUUGUAAACCCCUGUCAUGGGGGAGCAAAUUAAAAAGAUAGUACCACAAGAGGAAGCGACGGCUAACUCUGUGCCAGCAGCCGCGGUAAUACAGAGGUAACAAGCGUUGUUCGGAAUUACUGGGCGUAAAGGGUGCGUAGGCGGUUUCGUAAGUCGUGUGUGAAAGGCGCGGGCUCAACCCGCGGACGGCGCAUGAUACUGCGAGACUAGAGUAAUGGAGGGGGAACCGGAAUUCUCGGUGUAGCAGUGAAAUGCGUAGAUAUCGGGAGGAACACUCGUGGCGAAGGCGAGUUCCUGGACAUUAACUGACGCUGAGGCACGAAGGCCAGGGGAGCGAAAGGGAUUAGAUACCCCUGUAGUC